rnacentral:rRNA from 1 species
AGUGAACGCUGGCGGUAGGCCUAACACAUGCAAGUCGAACGGCAGCACAGUAAGAGCUUGCUCUUACGGGUGGCGAGUGGCGGACGGGUGAGGAAUACAGCGGAAUCUACUUUUUCGUGGGGGAUAACGUAGGGAAACUUACGCUAAUACCGCAUACGACCUACGGGUGAAAGCAGGGGAUCUUCGGACCUUGCGCGAUUGAAUGAGCCGAUGUCGGAUUAGCUAGUUGGCGGGGUAAAGGCCCACCAAGGCGACGAUCCGUAGCUGGUCUGAGAGGAUGAUCAGCCACACUGGAACUGAGACACGGUCCAGACUCCUACGGGAGGCAGCAGUGGGGAAUAUUGGACAAUGGGCGCAAGCCUGAUCCAGCCAUACCGCGUGUGUGAAGAAGGCCUUCGGGUUGUAAAGCCCUUUUGUUGGGAAAGAAAAGAAGCAGGUUAAUACCCCGCUGUUCUGACGUUACCCAAAGAAUAAGCACCGGCUAACUUCGUG